GAUGAACGCUAGCGAUAGGCUUAACACAUGCAAGUCGAGGGGCAGCAUGGUCUUAGCUUGCUAAGACUGAUGGCGACCGGCGCACGGGUGCGUAACGCGUAUGCAACUUGCCUCACAGAGGGGGAUAACCCGUCGAAAGACGGACUAAUACCGCGUACACUCUAUUUUGGGCAUCCAAGGUAGAGGAAAUGAAAUUCGCUGUGAGAUAGGCAUGCGUCCCAUUAGCUAGUUGGUGAGGUAACGGCUCACCAAGGCGACGAUGGGUAGGGGAACUGAGAGGGUGAACCCCCACACUGGUACUGAGACACGGACCAGACUCCUACGGGAGGCAGCAGUGAGGAAUAUUGGUCAAUGGGCGAGGGCCUGAACCAGCCAAGUCGCGUGAAGGAUGACUGUCUUAUGGAUUGUAAACUUCUUUUGUAGGGGAAUAAAGAGGGGCACGUGUGCCCCAGUGAAUGUACCCUACGAAUAAGCAUCGGCUAACUCCGUG
rnacentral:rRNA from 1 species